UGUGCUCGCAUUGUGUUGAAGGGUCUCAGUCCUGAGCAGAGGGACGGUCUGGGCACCUGGAGGAAAAACCAGGGUGAUGCUCUGUGACCUGCUAUCACCUCGGGGAAGCGGGGGAAACGGGAGGGCCACUCCUUCUAACUCCUCGAUUCCCCGCGGUGUGUUUCUACAGACUUGGUGGCGGAGAGCACCGACUGCCGCCAGGAUGAGGAGGCUGCAGAAUCUUGCUUUGGGAGGAAAGGAUCUUGCUGCAGGAGUCUGAGGAUAUGUUUCGUCCUCUGUGAGCUUGGCUAGAAUAAUCCCAUGGUGGCCACACAACAGAGUGCACCCUGCCACUGAGCCAGACGAAGAUACUGUGGAACCUGACUCAGUACAUUCAGGCAUGAACAAUGAUUCUAGUUCAUUCAAUGUUCCAAAUUUCAGAACAAACUCUACCCAUGCUGCUGCAUGAUGCAAAUUCAAAUGAGUUAACUCGAGUUCCCAUCAAGGCGCAGUGGUUAACG
rnacentral:lncRNA from 1 species